rnacentral:lncRNA from 13 species
CAUUUGUAUAACAUCUACCUCAAUUUGAAACAAAUUUUUAUGCAUGGAAAGACAGGCCUAAGCACUGUGCCAAAUUGUCAUAAUGAGGAAAACAUGGUCACCUUCCUACUCCUUCCACUGUCUUCACAGCAUUCUAAAACUGAUCAUUCUGCCUCCCUCUUUAUCUUUUAAAGGGACAUGGAUGAACCUGGAAACCAUCAUUCUCAGCAAACUGACACAAGAACAGAAAAUCAAACACAGCAUGUUCUCACUCAUAGAUGG